rnacentral:tRNA from 1 species
GCCGUGGUAGUGCAAUAGUUAAGCGCUUAGCUGCGAACUGAAGAGCUGGUGGUUCAAACCCACCCAGCAGCU